AUCUGUGCUGUGCAUCCCCUCAUGUUCCAAGUCGAAGCAUCUUCCUGUCCCCACUGGACCACUGCAGCCCCUUCCUUACCUGUGGCCUUGCUUGCUGCUGGGCUCCAUUGACAUUCCAUCCCUUUCCAGAUGUACAAGGAAUAAUUCUUUCUCUGAUACUCCAUAUCUUCCACUCUCUGCUGCCUCUGUGACCCAACACUUACAGCCUGGUAAGAUGAAGCACCCACGAGCAAUGGGAGCACCCACAAAGCAGGGCAUCAGUGUUGGAUAGGAUGUGCUGCUGCCUGCCCUGCCAUCUCAUUGUGUUUCUUAGUGCAAAGUGCUGGUGGGUCGGUGCUUUUGGUGGUCUGGGCAGUUGGGUUUUGGGGCAAAACCAAACAUUCUAUUGUUCCAUACAUUCCAUUUAGGAGCAAAGCAGAGCAAGGUGAGCUGUUGGUUUAAAUGUCCCUCCGGUCAGCUGCCAUGGGGGAAUGAUACACGAUAGGAAACCUACCUCUGGAGUACAAUGCCUACAGGGCAGAGGGUGUCUGCAGAGCCAAAGUGAUCAGAGCUGUGGGAGUUGUAAAUGGCUGGUUAUUUUGGCAGGAUAAUCGCCUGGAAACCUGAUUCUGGUGUUGUUAACGUGGCUGGAAGAGAAAGAAGCAGGAAGAAAUAAUUAAGCUAAUGCCCCUACAGCUGUAUUCUCCUAUUCCUUUAGAUUCCGUAUCCUGGAUCUCAACCGCUGCAGGACCUGACCCUGAAGUUCAGUUGUACGUCUUGAUUCUGGCACAAAACCAUUGGAGGGAGCUGCUGAAACUCACCUCACACUGACAACAGGUUCAUCUCCUUCCUCUGCUCAAAGUAGAACCACUGCAGCCACCUUCAGCUUAAUCCCACAGU